UGAGGAACAUGACCUUCGGCGGGGGAGUAGCCGGCCCAACGGCCGGGUAAUACCGCGUACGUCGGCGGGAGCGCAUGCUCCUGCCGGGAAAGCAGCAAUGCACCGAUGGAGGAUCUCGCGGCCUAUCAGCUUGUUGGUGAGGUCACGGCUCACCAAGGCGACGACGGGUAGCUGGUCUGAGAGGGUGACCGGCCACACGUGGGACUGAGACACGGCCCAGACCUCCGUAGGGACGG
rnacentral:rRNA from 1 species